rnacentral:lncRNA from 1 species
UUUAUUAUACAAAUAGGCAGUAUACACAGUGAGCGCCCACUAAGCGCUGGGCUGGGGGCCUCCAACCCGGAACAGAAGCCGGCCACAACCCUCGCUCCCUGUCGUCGCGGCCGUUAUAGGCCGAAAGCAAAAUCCAAUCCCGGGCCAUUGUGGGCGGAUUGCCAGGACCUGGAUCGCAACACUUGGGAAGACCCCCGCCCCGCCCAGCGAUCUCCGUGCCCUGAGUCCCAGUGACGGCCCCCUGGACAGCGGAGCCUGCUGCAGCGACGCGACGCGCUGGAUCUCAAAGCAAGGCUUGUUGGACAAAUAAAUGAAGAUGAGCCCAAGAGCCCAGGAGAGGGACCGGGAACAGCAGGGCCUCCGUGACUCACACAAGCUUCAUCCCUGAACCAAGGACGCAGCCUGCCAACAAUGGCCCCAAGCCACACCCCGCCACAGGGGGAACUGAUGCUGCGGUGAGAAGUGACAGCUUUCUGUUGACUCUUUUUUUUUUCAAGCAGAAUAUGAAUUGAGACAUACUUUCAUUUUCAUAAUCAGAACCUAACACUUAGUAACCAAUGUUGGUGGAAGCAAAUGAGAUCACAGUUUGUCUGUUCCAAACUCAUCUCUGGGAAAAGGAGGAGGAAAAAUUAUUGGCACUAUGUUCAGAAUCAUAGCUGAAGAUGCAGAAAUUGUUCAUCCCAAUUUUGCCUUUGUAAGUAAUGUGGGGGCAGUUCUUAUUAGUAAUUGCCAAUCUCUACUGAGACACAGUAUUUUGCUAGGCGCUUUAUAUUCAUUUCCUGGUAUGAUCAUGACAUUAACCCUGUGAAAUGCGUACCCUUACUAUCUCCAUGUGAAGAAAUGAGGGAACUGAGGACCAGAGAGGUGAACUGACUUGUCCAAAGACACACAGUAAGGGCUGUGACUCUCCGCUUUCUAAGAUUUUUGUUCUUAUCGCUCCACAGCACAUAGCAGGCGUAGUAUGAAGGCAGCAUGCUGCACAAUUUCGCUGUUUGUUUCUUGGAAUAAUAAUUUAUAGGGGACUGCUUCUAGAUUCCAAAGGAAAGAGAAAGGAAAUAUGCCCCAAACUCAGGCUUUCAGCCUGGCCCUGCCUGACUCACUGAGCUGCAUUGGACAAAUGAUUCA